rnacentral:rRNA from 1 species
AUUGAACGCUGGCGGCAGGCCUAACACAUGCAAGUCGAGCGGAUGAAGGGAGCUUGCUCCUGGAUUCAGCGGCGGACGGGUGAGUAAUGCCUAGGAAUCUGCCUGGUAGUGGGGGAUAACGUCCGGAAACGGGCGCUAAUACCGCAUACGUCCUGAGGGAGAAAGUGGGGGAGCUUCGGACCUCACGCUAUCAGAUGAGCCUAGGUCGGAUUAGCUAGUUGGUGGGGUAAAGGCCUACCAAGGCGACGAUCCGUAACUGGUCUGAGAGGAUGAUCAGUCACACUGGAACUGAGACACGUUCCAGACUCCUACGGGAGGCAGCAGUGGGGAAUAUUGGACAAUGGGCGAAAGCCUGAUCCAGCCAUGCCGCGUGUGUGAAGAAGGUCUUCGGAUUGUAAAGCACUUUAAGUUGGGAGGAAGGGCAGUAAGUUAAUACCUUGCUGUUUUGACGUUACCAACAGAAUAAGCACCGGCUAACUUCGUG